AUUGAACGCUGGCGGCAGGCCUAACACAUGCAAGUCGAACGGUAACAGGAAGAAGCUUGCUUCUUUGCUGACGAGUGGCGGACGGGUGAGUAAUGUCUGGGAAACUGCCUGAUGGAGGGGGAUAACUACUGGAAACGGUAGCUAAUACCGCAUAACGUCGCAAGACCAAAAAGGGGGACCUUCGGGCCUCUUGCCAUCGGAUGUGCCCAGAUGGGAUUAGCUAGUAGGUGGGGUAACGGCUCACCUAGGCGACGAUCCCUAGCUGGUCUGAGAGGAUGACCAGCCACACUGGAACUGAGACACGGUCCAGACUCCUACGGGAGGCAGCAGUGGGGAAUAUUGCACAAUGGGCGCAAGCCUGAUGCAGCCAUGCCGCGUGUAUGAAGAAGGCCUUCGGGUUGUAAAGUACUUUCAGUGGGGAGGAAGGGAGUAAAGUUAAUACCUUUGCUCAUUGACGUUACCCGCAGAAGAAGCACCGGCUAACUCCGUG
rnacentral:rRNA from 1 species